rnacentral:tRNA from 1 species
UGUUCUGUGGCUUAGUUGGUUAAAGUGCCGUUCUGGCGAAUACGGAGUAGUGGGGUCGAAUCCCAUCUGGACGC